rnacentral:tRNA from 1 species
GCGCCCGUAGCUCAGCUGGAUAGAGUACCUGGCUACGAACCAGGCGGUCAGAGGUUCGAAUCCUCUCGGACGCGCCA